UCAAGUGGACAAUUCAACACUGCUUGGAGAAACACCUUGACGCUAAAUUGAUGUUCAAUGCGGUUUCCUAGAUUAAAUCACUACCAGACGUGUGAAGCUGUUCCGAGAAGAGUAAUUUUGAGGAAUUCAUCGUUAAUCAGUUGCUGAAGUGGCCUGGUGAACAGUGUGCAAGCUUUGUGUGCAUUUGGAAUAGGAGACACAUGGACACUGAAAGUGAUUUGGUCUGACUGUUUCCAUCUGGUUGCAGCGUAGUGCAUGCUGCAGUGAAGAAAAGGAUCCGGCAUUAGGCAAAUGUGACAACUUGUGUAUUUUUCAACAGGAAUCCCCUUCAGGUAUGUCGUUUGCUCAUCAGUGCCA